CCGGCACAUUUAAGAUGUGGUUAUUCCCCGCGGUGGACAGUAACUUAAGUAGGCCUACUGUACUGAAAUAUAAAUUAGAGCACCUAAAAUAUUUUUCAUCAGCCGCCACUGAAUAAAGAGAUGAAAAACUACGAGUUUCACCCGGAUUCUGACACUGGUAGCACUGAAGUGGACGAAGCAGAUUACCACCUGCUGCUGUCUUCGCCCACUAAAUCUGCACACUGUUAUUCAUCCUGCUCUUGUGGCUUACUUAACAAGGCACUUUAUUGGUAUCAACCCCAAGAGGGGAACAAAGGCCAGCCAGGGGAAGGUGGUGUACAAGAAGACGGGGAAGCUGGUCCAGAAAAAGGCAGCAACUGUGAAUCCCCAUGUGGUCACCAUUAUAAAAAAAAAACUUCCUGGACUUUGAGUGAGGCUUUGUGUGGUCCAAAACACAAUUCCACACAGGAGCUCUUUUAAACAAAAAAAAGCCCUCACAGAUACCAGAUGUUCAUGCAGUAAUAGGUAACAUGUCUCAGCAUUGUGUUCUGUUUAGUAUAGCUGAGUCCACUUGUCUGAGUUGAGUAGUGGUAGUUUCAUGUUUGUUCUUUCACUCGCUUUCCAUUGCAUGUCAUGAUUAUAACUCAUGGAUACUGAAGGCAGGGUACAGUUCUAAGUAUAGUAUGCAAGUUGUAGAAAGAUUGUUGAGAACCUGCUUGAGAUUAGUUGUUCUUAUGGAUUGUAUAUUUUACAAGAAUUACAUUAAUUGAAAUUUGUUAGCUACUUAAUGUGUUUGAAGCAGUGGCUUUAAUAAAUAAUGUUACAUGGCCAUCUCUUGUCAUAGUUAAAGACAAAAUUUAACUGAAUAACUAUAAGGUAGGCU